CCUCAGCAACAGAGAGUGCAUUAGUUUUACACUCGGGAAGGUGAGAUAGUCUUUUACGAUUGGAGCAUACGCUCUUCAACAGAAAGGAACACGAGAAAAUAA